AUUGAACGCUAGCGGGAUGCCUUACACAUGCAAGUCGAACGGAGUGGCGAACGGGUGAGUAAUGUAUCGGAACGUGCCCAGUAGCGGGGGAUAACUUCGCGAAAGCGUAGCUAAUACCGCAUACUCUUGGCGCGGCCGAUAUCGGAUUGGCUAGUGGGUGGGGUAAUUGCCUACCAAGGCCACGCUCCGUAGCGAAUUUGAGAGGACGACCAGCCACACUGGAACUGAGACACGGCCCAGACUCCUACGGGAGGCAGCAGUGGGGAAUUUUGGACAAUGGGGGAAACCCUGAUCCAGCCAUCCAGCGUGUGCGAUGAAGGCCUUCGGGUUGUAAAGCACGUUUGGCAGGAAAGCGGUACCUGCAGAAUAAGCAACGGCUAACUACGUGCCAGCAGCCGCGGUAAUAC
rnacentral:rRNA from 1 species